CUGACCCCCAUGACGUCACCUGACCCCCCGUGACGUCACCCGCGCUCACCCGGCCCCUCCCCCGCAGGCUCUGGGGCUCCUGGGCGGGGCCCGAAGGCGACAAAUUCGGGGCCCAAAAAUACGAGGGGGGAACGGGGUGUUGGCAGGGACCCAACAGAGCCACAACGGUGCGGCUCAGGUGUGGCCGGGACACGGCGGUGACGGCGGCGUCGGAGCCGAGCCGCUGCGAGUACCUGCUGGAGCUGGAGACACCUGCGGCCUGCAGGGAGCCCGAAACACCUGGGCACGAGGAGCACGAUGAACUCUGAGCCCCAAAAUAUCCCAAAAUGUCCCAAAUUAUCCCCAAAAUAUCCCAAAAUGUCCCCAAACCCCUGCAGGGAGCCCGAAACACCUGGGCACGAGGAGCACGAUGAACUCUGAGCUCCAAAAUAUCCCAAAACAUCCCAAA